rnacentral:rRNA from 1 species
UACGUAGGGUGCAAGCGUUGUCCGGAAUUAUUGGGCGUAAAGAGCUCGUAGGCGGUUUGUUGCGUCGGCUGUGAAAUCCCGAGGCUCAACCUCGGGUCUGCAGUCGAUACGAGCAAACUAGAGUGUUGCAGGGGAGACUGGAAUUCCUGGUGUAGCGGUGGAAUGCGCAGAUAUCAGGAGGAACACCGAUGGCGAAGGCAGUUCUCUGGGCCGUAACUGACGCUGAGGAGCGAAAGCGUGGGGGAGCGAACAGG